rnacentral:rRNA from 1 species
GAUGAACGCUGGCGGCGUGCCUAACACAUGCAAGUCGAACGGACAGACGACUUUGGGGGUACUCGAGUGGCGAACGGGUGAGUAACACGUGAGUAUGGUGCCCCUGCCUAUGGGACAAGUUUAGGAAACUGGGGCUAAAACUGAUACGGAAUACUUGAUGAAACGUGGGGGUUGGAUAGCUACGGCGGGUUUGGCUGGCCCUGUGGGUUAUUUGCUUGCUGGUGGGGUAACGGCUUAACAUGGCGGUUAUGGGUAGCCGAGCUGAGAGGGUGACCGGCCACACUGGGAGUGAGCCACGGCCCAGACUCCUAGGGGAGGCAGCAGUAGGGAAUGUUGGGAACUGGGCGAAAGCCUGCACAAGCAACGCAGCGUGGAUGAUGAAGGUCUUCGGGUGGUAAAACGCCGUUCGGGGGGAAGACCACUUUCAUCAGUAACGAAGCUUGUCGUGACGGUACCUGCAGAAGAAGCACCGGCUAACUACGUG